AUUGAACGCUGGCGGCAUGCCUUACACAUGCAAGUCGAACGGCAGCACGGGAGCAAUCCUGGUGGCGAGUGGCGAACGGGUGAGUAAAGUAUCGGAACGUGCCCAGUCGUGGGGGAUAACGUAGCGAAAGUCACGCUCAUACCGCAUACGAUCUAUGGAUGAAAGCGGGGGAUCGCAAGACCUCGCGCGAUUGGAGCGGCCGAUAUCAGAUUAGGUAGUUGGUGGGGUAAAGGCUCACCAAGCCGACGAUCUGUAGCUGGUCUGAGAGGACGACCAGCCACACUGGGACUGAGACACGGCCCAGACUCCUACGGGAGGCAGCUGUGGGGAAUUUUGGACAAUGGGCGCAAGCCUGAUCCAGCCAUGCCGCGUGCAGGAUGAAGGCCUUCGGGUUGUAAACUGCUUUUGUACGGAACGAAAAGGUUUGGCCUAAUACGCUGAACUCAUGACGGUACCGUAAGAAUAAGCACCGGCUAACUACGUGCCAGCCGCCGCGGUAA
rnacentral:rRNA from 1 species